GAUGAACGCUAGCGGGAGGCUUAACACAUGCAAGUCGAGGGGCAGCAUAGGGUAGCAAUACUCUGAUGGCGACCGGCAAACGGGUGAGUAACGCGUAUGCAACCUACCCUGUACAGGGGGAUAACCCGGAGAAAUUCGGACUAAUAUCCCGUAAUAAUAUCCGGAGGCAUCUUUGGAUAUUUAAAGUUCCGACGGUACGGGAUGGGCAUGCGUAACAUUAACUGGUUGGUAAGGUAACGGCUUACCAAGGCUAUGAUGUUUAGGGGUCCUGAGAGGGUGGUCCCCCACACUGGUACUGAGACACGGACCAGACUCCUACGGGAGGCAGCAGUGAGGAAUAUUGGUCAAUGGGCGCAAGCCUGAACCAGCCAUCCCGCGUGCAGGAAGACGGCCCUAUGGGUUGUAAACUGCUUUUCCAGGGAGAGAAACUUACGCACGUGUUGCGUGACUGACGGUACCCUGGGAAUAAGCAUCGGCUAACUCCGUGCCAGCAGCCGCGGUAAACUACUCGUA
rnacentral:rRNA from 1 species